ensembl:lncRNA
CGGAAAGGGAUCCUGUCAGGUUGGAGUAGAAAGAAGACGAGACCAACAGGAUCCUGUCAGGUUGGAGUAGAAAGAAGACGAGACCAACAGGAUCCUGUCAGGUUGGAGUAGAAAGAAGACAAGAGCAACAGAAAGGGAUCCUGUCAGGUUGGAGUAGAAAGAAGACGAGACCAACGGAAAGGGAUCCUGUCAGGUUGGAGUAGAAAGAAGACGAGACCAACAGGAUCCUGUCAGGUUGGAGUAGAAAGAAGACGAGACCAACAGGAUCCUGUCAGGUUGGAGUAGAAAGAAGACGAGACCAACAGGAUCCUGUCAGGUUGGAGUAGAAAGAAGACAAGAGCAACAGAAAGGGAUCCUGUCAGGUUGGAGUAGAAAGAAGACGAGAUCAACGGGAAAGGGAUCCUGUCAGGUUGGAGUAGAAAGAAGACGAGACCAACGGAAAGGGAUCCUGUCAGGUUGGAGUAGAAAGAAGACGAG